GAAAUAGAGAUCAAGAUUAAGCUUCUAACUUAUAUCUUUAGCGAUGCAACUUCGUUAAUAUUUCU
rnacentral:tRNA from 1 species